rnacentral:rRNA from 1 species
UACGUAGGGAGCAAGCGUUGUCCGGAAUCAUUGGGCGUAAAGCGCGCGUAGGUGGCCACAUAAGUCCGUUGUGAAAGUCAAAGGCUCAACCUUUGAAAGCCGAUGGAUACUGUGUGGCUAGAGUACGGAAGAGGCGAGUGGAAUUCCUGGUGUAGCGGUGAAAUGCGCAGAUAUCAGGAGGAACACCGGUGGCGAAGGCGGGUCUCUGGGCAGUAACUGACGCUAAGGAGCGAAAGCGUGGGGAGCGAACGAGG